rnacentral:rRNA from 1 species
UACGGGGGGGGGCAAGCGUUGUUCGGAAUUACUGGGCGUAAAGGGCUCGUAGGUGGCCAACUAAGUCAGACGUGAAAUCCCUCAGCUUAACUGGGGAACUGCGUCUGAUACUGGAUGGCUUGAGUUUGGGAGAGGGAUGCGGAAUUCCAGGUGUAGCGGUGAAUGACGUAGAUAUCUGGAGGAACACCGGUGGCGAAGGCGGCAUCCUGGACCAACACUGACACUGAGGAGCGAAAGCCAGGGGAGCAAACGGG